GACGAACGCUGGCGGCGUGCUUAACGCAUGCAAGUCGAACGGAAAGGCCCUGCUUUUGUGGGGUGCUCGAGUGGCGAACGGGUGAGUAACACGUGAGUAACCUGCCCUUGACUUUGGGAUAACUUCAGGAAACUGGGGCUAAUACCGGAUAGGAGCUCCUGCUGCAUGGUGGGGGUUGGAAAGUUUCGGCGGUUGGGGAUGGACUCGCGGCUUAUCAGCUUGUUGGGGGGGGAGUGGCUUACCAAGGCUUCGACGGGUAGCCGGCCUGAGAGGGUGACCGGGCACAAUGGGACUGCGGUACGGCGCAGACUCCUACGGUGGACAGCAGUGGGAAAUAUUGCACAAUGGGCGGAAGCGUGAUGCAGCAACGCCGCGUGCGGGAUGACGGCCUUCGGGUUGUAAACCGCUUUCGCCUGUGACGAAGCGUGAGUGACGGUAAUGGGUAAAGAAGCACCGGCUAACUACGUG
rnacentral:rRNA from 1 species